AACGAACGCUGGCGGCGCGCCUAAUACAUGCAAGUCGAGCGAGAAGACGUAGCAAUACGUUUGUAAAGCGGCGAACGGGUGAGGAAUGCAUGGGUAACCUACCCUCGAGUGGGGAAUAACUAGCCGAAAGGUUAGCUAAUACCGCGUACGCUCCUUGGACUUCGGUUCAGGGAGGAAAGCGAUACCGUGGGUAGUCGCGCUCUUGGAUGGGCGUCAUGUCCUAUCAGCUUGUUGGG
rnacentral:rRNA from 1 species